rnacentral:rRNA from 1 species
GGGGAAUAUUGGGCAAUGGGGGAAACCCUGACCCAGCGACGCCGCGUGAGGGAAGAAGGUUUUCGGAUCGUACACCUCUGUUGUACGGGAAGAAGGAAGUGACGGUACCGUACGAGGAAGCCCCGGCAAACUACGUGCCAGCAGCCGCGGUAAUACGUAGGGGGCGAGCGUUGUCCGGAUUUACUGGGCGUAAAGGGUCCGUAGGGGGUCUGCCAAGUCGGCUGUGAAAUGCCGCGGCUCAACCGCGGCACUGCACUCGAUACUGGCGGGCUUGAGUCCGCGAGGGGUGAACGGAAUUCCUGGUGUAGCGGUGGAAUGCGUAGAUAUCAGGAAGAACGCCGAUGGCGAAAGCGGUUCACUGGCGCGGCACUGACCCUGAGGGACGAAAGCGUGGGUAGCAAACA